rnacentral:lncRNA from 1 species
CCACUUAUGAAAUCUCAGCAUAAUUCAUGGCAAACAGUGUGCCACGAUAGCGGCAUCGAGACCUCGAUCAACGAGUCUAGAGGACUUGUUCGGCGAGAUUACAAGAUUGCCAAGAAGCGGUGUUUGAUCGGAAGGGAGACUGAAAUCGAGAUGAGCACAAGAUCGAGUUGCAUGUCUCGUAUUCCAGAUUCUGAUUUCUCCACAACCGAGCGAGCAGGAUCUCAAAUAGAAUCUCAUUGGCCACGAGGCGAAAUGUUAUCUCUUGUAUACUAGAGCACGCAUUUGGAUGGAGAAGUUGGGCUGUUGGCUGAUGAUAAGAUAACGCGUUCUCGAUUGGCCAGUUACUAUUCCGCAGCGUAUAUUCCAAAAAUCUUUAACAAUAUCAGUUUUAGAAAUAAUUUACCGCCGCUAGUGGAUGACUUUAAACAAUUUUAGCGAUAAUUAAUAUUCGUGAUUUGUCGGCGUUUAAAAUGCGACAGUUCAAUUGCAAUCCGAGCACUCAAUCUUAACGACGUAUUAAAAGCUGGACAUCGACCGUUACCCGCAGGCGCGUGGAGAUGAAUUGAUUUUUAAAAUCGGCUCUCUCGGCAUUACGAUGGCUCGUCCGUGAAGAUAUUGCGUACACGCUGAUCACGAGUCGCCAAUAACAUUCGUCAGCGAUAAAUCGUUGUUGUGCAACCAUAGCGUUCGUGCAUCAUGAAAACAAAUCGCUGACGUUUGACACUGAACUCU